UACGUAGGUGGCAAGCGUUGUCCGGAUUUACUGGGCGUAAAGAGCGCGCAGGCGGUCGUUCAAGUCGCGUGUGAAAGCCCCCGGCUCAACUGGGGAGGGUCACGCGAUACUGAUCGACUGGAAGGCAGGAGAGGGUAGUGGAAUUCCCGGUGUAGUGGUGAAAUGCGUAGAUAUUGGGAGGAACACCAGUGGCGAAGGCGGCUCACUGGCCCGAUACUGACGCUGAGGUGCGAAAGCGUGGGGAGCAAACAGG
rnacentral:rRNA from 1 species